GUGUCCAUCUAAUCAACUUCUUCCUCUCGCCUGGUUGUAGCGCCCCCGUUUUUAUUUGUUUAUUAGGUUCCCAUCUUUUCUUUAGCAGAGUUCUAUUUUUGUUGUUUAAUUAGAUGAUCCUAGUUUUAUUCGUAUUCUCUCUGUCCAAAUCAUCUAUCCAAAAAUCUCAAAACAAUCUCGGCACCCAAGUCACUCAAAAGCAUCGUUUUUGCUUCCUUGUUUUUAACCGUUGGCUUCUCUCAUCCGACGUCCAUCUCUUUUAUUCCAUUGAUCACCUAGCCUAAAGCCCGCCGUCUCCGCUAGCCUUUUUCCUUCUGCGUGCUCAAGUUUGUCUCUCGUCCUAUUACCCCCAUGCCCUCCCUCUUUUUUUUUGUUGUUUUGUUCGUUCAUUCAAGGCAGUAGACCCUCAAUAGCCACAGCAUUGCGCUGCAUCGCUGCAGCCGAGCUUGCCGGGGACGUCCAGCUCGCUGCCCUCGCUGCGUCCCACAUUUUCCGACGGAGAGCGCUCGCUGCAAAUCGCUGCCCGUGCCAUCUGAAAAGCCAAAAAUCGAGCUGAGAAGGCAGCGAGCAGAGAGUAGUAGCAGCCACGACGGCCCCGGCCACGGCGGACCCCGGACAACGCCGCGACGCCUAUAAAUACCCUCGGAGACUCACCGUUGCCUUCACCACCUCCAGCCCCAGCGCCACCCCUCCUCACGGCCUUCCUCCCCGCCACCAGCGCCUGCUCCCUCCCUGGUCAGCCUCUCCCUUUUGCUGCCCUUCCAUGGCUGUGUGUGUAAGUGAGAGGGAGAAUAAAGGAGAUAGAGGAGGCAGCAGCUACGGGAGGAGGAAGAGAGCAAAGAGAGAGAAGAGAGAAAGCAAGGAGAGAGCACGUGAAGACUAGAGAAAAGGGAGAGAGAGAGUAUGGUAAUAAAGGAGGUGGGCCAUGUGGACCCCACAUUGCCCCCUCAAUGAAGUCAACAGCCUGGCCCCACCUGUCCGGGGAUAUUCCCUGGAAUAUCCCAUUUCAAAUUUUGAAAUAGUACAACGGCUACAAAAUAUUUUUAAACUUUAAAAAUUCAUAUCUCCCAAACCGUAACUCUGAUCGACUUCGUUCUUGUU
rnacentral:lncRNA from 1 species